rnacentral:rRNA from 1 species
UACGUAGGGGGCAAGCGUUGUCCGGAAUCAUUGGGCGUAAAGCGCGCGUAGGCGGCCCUGUAAGUCCGCUGUAAAAGUCAAAGGCUCAACCUUUGGAAGCCGGUGGAUACUGUCGGGCUAGAGUCCGGAAGGGGCGAGUGGAAUUCCUGGUGUAGCGGUGAAAUGCGCAGAUAUCAGGAGGAACACCAAUGGCGAAGGCGGGUCUCUGGGCAGUAACUGACGCUGAGGAGCGAAAGCGUGGGGAGCGAACAGG